rnacentral:rRNA from 1 species
UACAGAGGGCGCGAGCGUUGUCCGGAAUCACUGGGCGUAAAGGGCGCGUAGGUGGCCACUAUAAGGCCGCGGUGAAAAGUUCGGGGCUCAACCCUGAAUCUGCCGCGGCGACUGUAGGGCUAGGGCACCGUAGAGGCAGAUGGAAUUCCGGGUGUAGCGGUGGAAUGCGUAGAGAUCCGGAAGAACACCAGUGGCGAAGGCGGCUCACUGGCCCGGUACUGACACUGAGGUGCGAAAGCGUGGGGAGCAAACAGG